AUUGAACGCUGGCGGCAGGCUUAACACAUGCAAGUCGAACGAAGUGGCGAACGGGUGAGUAACGCGUAAUCAACCUGCCCUUCAGAGGGGGACAACAGUUGGAAACGACUGCUAAUACCGCAUACUGAAGGAGGGGAUUGCGUCUGAUUAGCUAGUUGGAGGGGUAACGGCCCACCAAGGCGAUGAUCAGUAGGCGGGUUGGGAGGAUGGACGGCCACAUUGGGACUGGGAAACGGCCCAGACUCCUACGGGAGGCAGCAGUGGGGAAUCUUCCGCAAUGGACGAAAGUCUGACGGAGCAACGCCGCGUGAGUGAUGACGGCCCUCGGGUUGUAAAGCUCUGUUAAUCGGGACGCGGUACCGGAAUAGAAAGCCACGGCUAACUACGUGCCAGCAGCCGCGGUAAUUC
rnacentral:rRNA from 1 species